rnacentral:rRNA from 1 species
AGAGUUUGAUCCUGGCUCAGGAUGAACGCUAGCUACAGGCUUAACACAUGCAAGUCGAGGGGCACAGGACGAUAGCUUGCUAUUGUGCUGGCGACCGGCGCACGGGUGAGUAACGCGUAUCCCAACCCUCCCCUUAGUAGGGCAUAGCCCGGCGAAAGUCGGAUUAAUACCCUAUGUUAUCCGAAGAGGACAUCUGAAUUGGAUUAAAGAUUUAUCGCUAACGGAUGAGGAUGCGUCCGAUUAGCUUGUUGGCGGGUAACGGCCCACCAAGGCGACGAUCGGUAGGGGCUCUGAGAGGAGGAUCCCCCACAUUGGAACUGAGACACGGUCCAAACUCCUACGGGAGGCAGCAGUGAGGAAUAUUGGUCAAUGGGCGAGAGCCUGAACCAGCCAAGUAGCGUGAAGGGAUGACUGCCCUAUGGGUUGUAAACCUCUUUUGUUUGGGAAUAAAGCGGGCCACGCGUGGCCUUUUGUAUGUACCUUACGAAUAAGCAUCGGCUAAUUCCGUGCCAGCAGCUGC